rnacentral:siRNA from 1 species
UGAUUACUUGACUUCACAGAC